GUUGAACGCUGGCGGCGUGCCUAAUACAUGCAAGUCGAGCGAAUGGAUUAAGAGCUUGCUCUUAUGAAGUUAGCGGCGGACGGGUGAGUAACACGUGGGUAACCUGCCCAUAAGACUAGGAUAACUCCGGGAAACCGGGGCUAAUACCGGAUAACAUUUUGAACCGCAUGGUUCGAAAUUGAAAGGCGGCUUCGGCUGUCAUUUAUGGAUGGACCCGCGUCGCAUUAGCUAGUUGGUGAGGUAACGGCUCACCAAGGCAACGAUGCGUAGCCGACCUGAGAGGGUGAUCGGCCACACUGGGACUGAGACACGGCCCAGACUCCUACGGGAGGCAGCAGUAGGGAAUCUUCCGCAAUGGACGAAAGUCUGACGGAGCAACGCCGCGUGAGUGAUGAAGGCUUUCGGGUCGUAAAACUUUGUUGUUAGGGAAGAACAAGUGCUAGUUGAAUAAGCUGGCACCUUGACGGUACCUAACCAGAAAGCCACGGCUAACUACAUGCCAGCAGCCGCAGUAA
rnacentral:rRNA from 1 species